rnacentral:rRNA from 1 species
UGCGUAGGUGGGCAGGUAAGUCAGUGGUGAAAUCUCUGGGCUUAACCCAGAAACUGCCGUUGAUACUAUCUGUCUUGAAUAUAGUGGAGGUGAGCGGAAUAUGUCAUGUAGCGGUGAAAUGCUUAGAUAUGACAUAGAACACCCAUUGCGAAGGCAGCUCGCUACACUAUUAUUGACACUGAGGCACGAAAGCGUGGGGAUCAAACAGGAUUAGAUACCCUGGUAGUCCACGCCCUAAACGAUGGAUACUCGACAUCAGCGAUACACUGUUGGUGUCUGAGCGAAAGCAUUAAGUAUCCCACCUGGGAAGUACGACCGCAAGGUUGAAACUCAAAGGAAUUGA